GACGAACGCUGGCGGCGUGCUUAACACAUGCAAGUCGAGCGGUAAGGCCCUUCGGGUACACGAGCGGCGAACGGGUGAGUAACACGUGGGUGACCUGCCUCUAGCUCUGGGAUAAGCCUGGGAAACUGGGUCUAAUACCGGAUAUGACUCCACGGCGCAUGUUGUGGGGUGGAAAGCCUUGUGUGGCUAGAGAUGGGCCCGCGGCCUAUCAGCUUGCUGGUGGGGUGAUGGCCUACCAAGGCGACGACGGGUAGCCGGCCUGAGAGGGCGACCGGCCACACUGGGACUGAGACACGGCCCAGACUCCUACGGGAGGCAGCAGUGGGGAAUCUUGCGCAAUGGGCGAAAGCCUGACGCAGCGACGCCGCGUGAGGGAUGACGGCCU
rnacentral:rRNA from 1 species